CUAUAUUAUAGACCCCUGUCUCUGCCCCUUCCCAGCAUGCUUUGUUAAGAGGAGAUUGACAGGCGUACUUCCCUUCCCCCUAGGCUUUCAGAAGCUCAAGGUUGCUUUGCACUGUCUUAAACUCCUUUAAAAGGGCUCACAUUCUGGCAAGAGUUAGAAGCACCCACCCAAAAGUCCAUGCCCAGCAGAGGGAACCUGGGACAGAAGACCACCCCUACUCCAACUCUGCAGACCCUCCAUGACAGGAUAACAGGAAAAUGCAACCUCUUCUGAAGAAAGAGUAGGUGGGCUUCUAAAAUGCUGCACUGCAUGAUGUCCAGUAGGAGGAUCUCCUUUCAGACAGGAAGAUGGAUGAGCUGUCAUCAAUUUCCCUCAUAUUCUGCCAUGCGGGACUCCAGUAAGAUGGCCAAAGGACAGUUCUGGUUUGUUUAACACAAGAUAAAGAUAUACAAAAGGUGAUUUUCAGCAAAGAAAAUUGUCAAUGUGGCAAACUAUUUGAGACCUUAUUCUGGAAGCACAAAUCAAUUAGUGUAACUCACAGUCAUGAAUAGCAUCUAGCUACUGAAAGAGUGAGUAGCAACCACAUUAAAACAGUCACGUUCCUCAUAUUGUUAUUUUAACUUUUAGUUAAUUUACCAUAUUACUUGUACCAACAGCUAAUCAGAGUGUGACCACUUCUGCGCAAUGUGUCUUAAACGCAUUUUUAAGCCAAUGUAAAUGUCUGCUAUUUUAUUCAGUGUGUGACUCAUAACAUGCUGAAGCAGAAGGGCCAAAUUCACUUCUGGCAUAAGCUGGUGUCACUCAGUUUAAAUCAAUGGCAAUGCACUCACUUAGCCCAGCAAUGAAUUGGCUUCCCCGUCUUUACUUGGAGUGCUUUGUAUUUAGACAUUUAUUUUUAGUUUAUGAAUUAUUACAUAUGAAACAGGCUAGUUUACCAACCCAGGAGAAUGAAAUGGUUUAGCUGUAGGACAGAUGCAGCACGAGCAGCCAUAUUAAACAGUUCCCUAUAUUGUAUCGUAACCAGAAGCUAAAGAAACCACCCAAAAAAAAAAAAAAACCUUAUACAUGGUAUGUAUGAUGGGUAAGGACUAAAUGAGCCGGGAAACUAAACUCUGCCCUUGCACUUAGGUUUUGUGUAUACCAGACAAAUUGGCAAAAAAAAAUCCCACCAGUGCCACUUCCAGUUCAACAGUCUCAAUGGCUGCCUUGGGAAAUCUCUCACCAGAGCUGAUACUCAUUUGCUUCUCCAGUGGUCGCCCUGAUCUAGGCAAGAUUCCAAUGGUUUCAGGUGUUACCACCAUCCUUAUCUACAGAAGCACGCUCAUCAAUGCCAUUGUUGGAAACAUUGCGGCUAAUAUCCCCUAGUGUAGACAAAGCCUAGGCAUGAAGACAUAGUUUACUACCUGCACAUUCAGUCCUCAGCCUCUAUGAUGGGACUGCCAUCACUUCCCCUUGGUUUUUGUGACCUAGAUACUUGGCCACAAGGAUGUGGACCGUCACCUCAUUUAACUUGGCCACUGAACAAACAGCCAGCAGAAAGUAAUGACUUAUGAUUUAGGUUUAACUUGAUCCAGUAUAUGAUGAAGCCAAAGAUACCAUACCCCAUUACCUUGUCCCAGCCAGUCUCCUAUAUGGUUGAUAGAGGUGUUUAAAAAGGUGAAUCUCCAAAAUUAAAACUAUAGUAUCAAGCUUUUACAAAGCUGAGGGAUGCAGCCAGGAGAAAGAGAAUGAAUCAGGUUUCCUCUUGAAGCCAAAAACUUGAACUGAUGAUAUGAAAAGAGAGACAUCCUUACGGACACUCAAGCUUUGCCUUUAUGUUCUCCAGUUUACGAAGUCUGCAUCUUAUUAUAUCAUUAGCUCUUUACUUUUUAAUGAAUGUAAUCCCACAGCUCCCACAGUAAGCACACUACACAAUCUGUCCCCAGAAAUUAUCUCCCUCUGUCCUUUUAUAAAAACCCUCUGACAAACAAACAACUGAUCCAUACUUGACACAUGUAUCCAUGUAACUAACACAAUUUGCCAAAGGGCAAAAAAACUCUAAGCUCUAUUUAUUUGCCUUGUUGCUGAGUAACCUCAAUGCUGACGACUAAAGUCAAGCAGUGAGCUAUAAGAAGAUGGCAUGCGUCUCCUAAACUCACCCCCACUGCAAGCAAUGGAGCUGCCAUUUUGCUAUUCAGCUUUAAUUUCCCUGUCUCACAGCCUCAUAAGUAAAUAAAGACUGACUUCGUGUCAGAAAUAGCAGUAUUUAACUGUAGAGUUUAAAAAGUAUGGUAAUUAAGAGUGCCACAAGUCACAGGUGUGUACAAUCCUAACAGAUUGUAGGGUUUGUCUUUUUGAACCUCUCAGCACGUUUAGAAACUGGAGGCAAACAACAAAAGGUGUUAAUAGCUUUAUGGGGAGCACCAUGCUGAUAGAUUACCCAUUAUGGUUACCCACUCACAGUGAAAUAGCAAAUAGGUUUGAUCAAUUAGAUUUUAAUGUAAAGUGGGGUUUGAAAAAACAGCAAUGAGCAGAGAGACCUUUUGUUGCUAAUGUGUCUGGGAAAAA